GAUGAACGCUAGCGGCAGGCCUAAUACAUGCAAGUCGAACGGGAUCCAGAUCAAAGCUUGCUUUGGUCUGGUGAGAGUGGCGCACGGGUGCGUAACGCGUGAGCAACCUACCCUUGUCAGGGGGAUAGCCCGGCGAAAGUCGGAUUAAUACCGCAUGACAUCAUUGAGAGGCAUCUUUCGAUGAUCAAAGAUUUAUCGGACAAGGAUGGGCUCGCGUGACAUUAGCUAGUUGGUAAGGUAACGGCUUACCAAGGCUGCGAUGUCUAGGGGCUCUGAGAGGAGAAUCCCCCACACUGGUACUGAGACACGGACCAGACUCCUACGGGAGGCAGCAGUAAGGAAUAUUGGUCAAUGGACGGAAGUCUGAACCAGCCAUGCCGCGUGCAGGAAGACGGCCCUAUGGGUUGUAAACCGCUUUUAUACGGGAACAAACGUCGGUACGUGUACCGGUCUGAGUGUACCGUAAGAAUAAGGAUCGGCUAACUCCGUG
rnacentral:rRNA from 1 species